ensembl:lncRNA
AAUUUUCCCAAUUGGGUUUCCUGGGCCUACUAUCAAAGCUCUAACUAUGGGUAAACCAGGCAUCCUACUGGACUUUUGCUGAGCAGAAACCUGAAGGGGGAGAAUGAUGAUCUGGGCAACCAGUCAUGCAUUUUAAAAAGCCACAUCAACACUGAGCUUGGAAAUUUAUUUUGAAAGAAUUACUGUUUAUAGUUCAGAUUUUAAAAAAUAGUUGCCACUGUAGUUACAAUUUUGGAAAAGGAAAUAUGUACUCCUGUCUGAUCCACAGAAGUAACUAAGUUAAGUCACAAAAGCAAUUAUGCUUUUAUUAUUGGAAAAGAGUUAAUUUCCUCUUUUAAUACUAAUUAUUUGUAAUUAGUUGCUUCCAAGCUGUAGGGUCAUAUAGAAAACAGGAUCUGAUGAAUGUCUGGGAAAUCUUGAAAAGCUUGCAUGAGACAUAACCUUCCUUUCCAUGUUCUUCUUCUCUUACAGAAGUCUCAGCUUCACCAGAUCAAAAAUAGAGACACCACAGAGAGAAGUGUUUGUUGGAGAAUAUAAACUUGAUUCCAACACAAAGAUGAAUGCCUGGGAAGAGCUUCCUGCUUCACACCUUGUGCUUCACCGCUUCGUCCCAACUGGUGCAACGUGGCAUGAAACACACCUGGGAAGACAAGGCAUCCAUCAUUGGUGGUGUGAGACCCAGACUGUCAGGCCAGGCCAGGCCCACAUAUAACGGCAUUUGUGAUUGAUGGGCCAGUUCUUUAUCUACAGCCGCCUCUUCCCAUCCAGCACCUGCAGCUGGAACUUCACCUGACAAGCCAUCAGGAGAGGAGAAUUCCAUCAUUCAUACAUGAAAGGAGUAAUACAGUUCUACCCUCCCCCCCUUCUCUUGCUUGGUUGCAGAAAUGAUCGCUCUUUAGCGUUCCUGUUUACCUUGAGAUAGAAAACAUGGCAGUAGGCUUCCUCCUUGAGGGGACUGGUGGUCUGCAUCAGCACAGGAAGGAAAGGGUGAGCUAAAAUGAAAGUAAAAGUCAGGAUAGAAGUUUGGAAUUUACUUGUAUAAAGCAAUUUGUCCCUGGUUUUCAUUUUGUGCUCUGAAGAAUAAUUCCGUUGUUAUUACUUGCUGCAGUGUUAGCGACUGGGUCAUUGCAUGACUGGUUAUGUUGUCCCUCACCUGUUUGCUGCUACUUGUUACUUUAAAAAAAAGCUUUUGGUUUGAUAAUUUAGAAAAAUCCAGGCAGACGGACUCUAAAGAUGUCUUUAAAAUGUCCUUAAAAUGUUACUUCUAAAUAUAAUUAAAAGACCAUCACUCUUGUUGUACCCUCUCAUGCUAUUAUUUUUGAAAUGGCAUUUGCGGAUGCUCAUUAGUGUCUCUCUGACCCCAGCAAACUGUUUCAGGUGAGUGCAUUGCUUGCAAUUCUGGCUGAUGUAGUGUAGUAAUGAGAGUGCUGAACUUAAGUUCAAGAGACCUCAGUUCAAAUCUCCACUCAACCACAAAACACAUUCAUGGUGAGCUUGGGCCAGUCACAUUUUCUGAGCUUGACCUUCUUGGUAGGGCUGCUGUUGUGAUAAUAAAUGGAGGAGGAGGAGAUCCA